AUUGAACGCUGGCGGCAGGCCUAACACAUGCAAGUCGAACGGUAACAGGAAGCAGCUUGCUGCUUUGCUGACGAGUGGCGGACGGAUGAGUAAUGUCUGGGAAACUGCCCGAUGGAGGGGGAUAACUACUGGAAACGGUAGCUAAUACCGCAUAACGUCGCAAGACCAAAGAGGGGGACCUUAGGGCCUCUUGCCAUCGGAUGUGCCCAGAUGGGAUUAGCUAGUAGGUGGGGUAACGGCUCACCUAGGCGACGAUCCCUAGCUGGUCUGAGAGGAUGACCAGCCACACUGGAACUGAGACACGGUCCAGACUCCUACGGGAGGCAGCAGUGGGGAAUAUUGCACAAAGGGCGCAAGCCUGAUGCAGCCAUGCCGCGUGUAUGAAGAAGGCCUUCGGGUUGUAAAGUACUUUCAGCGGGGAGGAAGGGAGUAAAGUUAAUACCUUUGCUCAUUGACGUUACCCGCAGAAGAAGCACCGGCUAACUCCGUG
rnacentral:rRNA from 1 species